CGUGAUUCAAACUUUGAAACUUUUGAAAAACACGCGCACUAUCGCACUAGCUGCAGCGAGCCAAUGAGCGCGGUCCGGUCACUUCACUUGCGUGCUGCUGCUGCGCUGUAGACGUAGAGUUAGUCAUUAUCACUAGUCAGCCGAGCCGACCGGAGCAUGCGGAGACGCCGGCAAACCGCGCGAGUGCUAAAGAAAAGCCGUUGGAUGUCGGCUCGUCAAAUUUUGCCCAUUUUCGGCCGAAUUUUCGCCCUCGAGUCGACCAGCAAGAAGCCAAGGAUGCAGAACAAGCUGUUUUAUCCGCAAAUAACCCCAGACCCGUGCCCGCGGCUUGCGCGACAACAAUGCAACUCGUGUUAUAUGCUGCUUAGCGGAUGAUGCUAACGCCCUGAAUCUUGCGACCCCUGGCCCUGGCAUUGUGAUAAUUAUGUAUUUUCUGGGGUCCGAAGGAGGUGACAUGCAAGGAGUCCAACCCGCCAAACCCUCGCUCCCUAACCUGAGCCACCCCCCGACCCCCGUCAAAGCUGCUUGCCAGGUGGCCGCGCCGCCAGCAGUCUAAGGUCUAAGGUGUUCGCUCCUAUGUAAAAGGUUCUCAAAGAAAAAUUUCCUCCUGUUGUCAAUAUUAUGUGUAAACGUUUUUAUGAAUUAUUAAACUUAGCACC